GGCUGAAGUAGGUCCCAAGGGUAUGGCUGUUCGCCAUUUAAAGUGGUACGCGAGCUGGGUUUAGAACGUCGUGAGACAGUUCGGUCCCUAUCUGCCGUGGGCGCUGGAGAAUUGAGGGGGGCUGCUCCUAGUACGAGAGGACCGGAGUGGACGCAUCACUGGUGUUCGGGUUGUCAUGCCAAUGGCACUGCCCGGUAGCUAAAUGCGGAAGAGAUAAGUGCUGAAAGCAUCUAAGCACGAAACUUGCCCCGAGAUGAGUUCUCCCUGACUCCUUGAGAGUCCUGAAGGAACGUUGAAGACGACGACGUUGAUAGGCCGGGUGUGUAAGCGCAGCGAUGCGUUGAGCUAACCGGUACUAAUGAACCGUGAGGCUUAACCUU
rnacentral:rRNA from 1 species